GAAGGAUGGUUACAGGACAGGUCAGAGCAGAUGACCAGCGGUGUCUCAGGUCAAAGCAGGUGACCGGAGCAGCUCAGGUGAAAGCAAGUAA